UGGCAGAUCAAGAGCGGGGAGAACGCCGCGAGCAUCGCGGGGGAGCUGGCGCGGCACACGCGGGGCCCGGUGUUCGCCGGCGACGUCAGCUCGGCCGUGCGGCUGCUCGAGCAGCUCCUCGACAUCCUGGACGCGCAGCUGCAGGCCCUGAGACCCCUGGAGAGGGAGUCAGCUGGAAAAAACUACAACAAGAUGCACAAGCGGGAACGAACCUGCAAGGACUACAUUAAGGCGGUGGUGGAGGCCGUGGACAAUCUGCUGCGUCCGGAGGCGCUGGAGUCGUGGCGGGACAUGAACGGCUCGGAGCAGGCGCACACGGCCACGAUGCUGCUGGACGUGCUGGAGGAGGGGGCCUUCCUGCUGGCAGACAACGUCAAGGAGCCGGCACGCUUCCUGGCGGCCCGGCAGA